rnacentral:rRNA from 1 species
CAAGUCGAGCGGUAAGGCCCUUCGGGGUACACGAGCGGCGAACGGGUGAGUAACACGUGGGUGACCUGCCUCGCACUCUGGGAUAAGCCUGGGAAACUGGGUCUAAUACCGGAUAUGACCACCGGUCGCAUGGUUGGUGGUGGAAAGAUUUAUCGGUGCGAGAUGGGCCCGCGGCCUAUCAGCUUGUUGGUGGGGUAAUGGCCUACCAAGGCGACGACGGGUAGCCGGCCUGAGAGGGCGACCGGCCACACUGGGACUGAGACACGGCCCAGACUCCUACGGGAGGCAGCAGUGGGGAAUAUUGCACAAUGGGCGAAAGCCUGAUGCAGCGACGCCGCGUGAGGGAUGACGGCCUUCGGGUUGUAAACCUCUUUCGACAGGGACGAAGCGCAAGUGACGGUACCUGUAGAAGAAGCACCGGCCAACUACGUGCCAGCAGCCGCGGUAAUACGUAGGGUGCGAGCGUUGUCCGGAAUUACUGGGCGUAAAGAGCUUGUAGGCGGUUCGUCGCGUCGAUCGUGAAAACGUGCAGCUCAACUGCACGCUUGCGGUCGAUACGGGCGGACUAGAGUACUGCAGGGGAGACUGGAAUUCCUGGUGUAGCGGUGAAAUGCGCAGAUAUCAGGAGGAACACCGGUGGCGAAGGCGGGUCUCUGGGCAGUAACUGACGCUGAGAAGCGAAAGCGUGGGUAGCGAACAGGAUUAGAUACCCUGGUAGUCCACGCCGUAAACGGUGGGCGCUAGGUGUGGGUUUCCUUCCACGGGAUCCGUGCCGUAGCUAACGCAUUAAGCGCCCCGCCUGGGGAGUACGGCCGCAAGGCUAAAACUCAAAGGAAUUGACGGGGGCCCGCACAAGCGGCGGAGCAUGUGGAUUAAUUCGAUGCAACGCGAAGAACCUUACCUGGGUUUGACAUACACCAGAAAGCCGUAGAGAUACGGCCCCCCUUGUGGUUGGUGUACAGGUGGUGCAUGGCUGUCGUCAGCUCGUGUCGUGAGAUGUUGGGUUAAGUCCCGCAACGAGCGCAACCCUUGUCCUGUGUUGCCAGCGCGUAAUGGCGGGGACUCGCAGGAGACUGCCGGGGUCAACUCGGAGGAAGGUGGGGACGACGUCAAGUCAUCAUGCCCCUUAUGUCCAGGGCUUCACACAUGCUACAAUGGCCGGUACAGAGGGCUGCGAUACCGUGAGGUGGAGCGAAUCCCUUAAAGCCGGUCUCAGUUCGGAUCGGGGUCUGCAACUCGACCCCGUGAAGUUGGAGUCGCUAGUAAUCGCAGAUCAGCAACGCUGCGGUGAAUACGUUCCCGGGCCUUGUACACACCGCCCGUCACGUCAUGAAAGUCGGUAACACCCGAAGCCGGUGGCCUAACCCUUGUGGAGGGAGC